rnacentral:rRNA from 1 species
AUUGAACGAUGGCGGCAGGCCUAACACAUGCAAGUCGAGCGAGCGGCGGACGGGUGAGUAAUGUCUGGGAAACUGCCGGAUGGAGGGGGAUAACUACGCGAAAGCGUAGCUAAUACCGCAUACAAUUGGAGCGGCGGAUGUCGGAUUGGCUCGUUGGUGGGGUAACGUCCCACCAAGGGGACGAUCCGUAGCUGGUUUGAGAGGACGACCAGCCACACUGGGACUGAGACACGGCCCAGACUCCUACGGGAGGCAGCAGUGGGGAAUUUUGGACAAUGGGGGAAACCCUGAUCCAGCCAUGCCGCGUGUGUGAAGAAGGCCUUCGGGUUGUAAAGCACUUUCAGCGGGGAGGCGUUACCCGCAGAAGAAGCACCGGCUAACUCCGUGCCAGCAGCCGCGGUAAUUC